GAUCUCGUGGUGGAGUGGCGAGGCAAAGGACCGCAGAUCCUUCGAUCCCCGGUUCGAUUCCGGGGCGAGGUCUCCA
rnacentral:tRNA from 1 species